GAAUAUUGGACAAUGGGGGGAACCCUGAUCCAGCCAUGCCGCGUGUGUGAAGAAGGCCUUUUGGUUGUAAAGCACUUUAAGCGAGGAGGAGGCUACUCUCGUUAAUACCUAGGGCUAGUGGACGUUACUCGCAGAAUAAGCACCGGAUCAAUCUGCGCCAGCAGCCGCGGUAAUACAGAGGGUGCAAGCGGUAAACAGAUUUACUGGGCGUAAAUCGCGCGUAGGUGGCCAAUUAAGUCAAAUGUGAAAUCCCCGAGCUUAACUUGGGAAUUGCAUUCGAUACUGGUUGGCUAGAGUAUGGGAGAGGAUGGUAGAAUUCCAGGUGUAGCGGUGAAAUGCGUAGAGAUCUGGAGGUAUACCGAUGGCGAAGGCAGCCAUCUGGCCUAAUACUGACACUGAGGUGCGAAAGCAUGGGGAGCAAACA
rnacentral:rRNA from 1 species